CUGAGUUGUUGAUGUUAGCCAUUUUAACAGGUUUGAAGUUUUCCACACUAAAAAGUUUUUAAAAAUCGCCUUGGAGGAGAAGAAAAUUACACAAAAGGAGAUGGACAGUGUCUUCCAAGGAUGUCUCUUCUGAGGGGGAACAGAGGAGGAGAUCAUACACAUAUUGCAAAAAGGAAGAAUUCUGAAAAAAAAAAAUGACAUCAGCAAAUCAGCCUUCAGAAUUUGAGAAAAAUAGGUAGGGCUUUUGGUAUAGCCCUGAGACAUAACA